rnacentral:rRNA from 1 species
UGCCAGCCGCCGCGGUAAUACGGAGGGGGCUAGCGUUGUUCGGAAUUACUGGGCGUAAAGCGCACGUAGGCGGAUUAGUAAGUUAGGGGUGAAAUCCCGGGGCUCAACCCCGGAACUGCCUCUAAUACUGCUAGUCUUGAGUUCGAGAGAGGUGAGUGGAAUUCCGAGUGUAGAGGUGAAAUUCGUAGAUAUUCGGAGGAACACCAGUAGCGAAGGCAGCUUACUAAACUGAUACUGACGCUGAGGCACGAAAGCGUGGGGAGCGAACAGGAUUAGAUA